UACGGAGGGGGCUAGCGUUGUUCGGAAUUACUGGGCGUAAAGCGCGCGUAGGCGGCUUUGUAAGUUAGAGGUGAAAUCCUGGAGCUCAACUCCAGAACUGCCUUUAAGACUGCAUCGCUAGAAUCGUGGAGAGGUGAGUGGAAUUCCGAGUGUAGAGGUGAAAUUCGUAGAUAUUCGGAAGAACACCAGUGGCGAAGGCGACUCACUGGACACGUAUUGACGCUGAGGUGCGAAAGCGUGGGGAGCAAACAGG
rnacentral:rRNA from 1 species